ensembl:lncRNA
UUUGUUAGAUAGCUGUAACAUGGGCUGACUUCAAGAUAAAACAUUAUAUGGAAUUAAUCACGAUAUUUAAGGAGAAAAGGUGUGUUUGGAAGCACUCUGACGCAACCACCUCAACUCCGUCCAUUAAAGGCGGAAGCCGCAGCCAUCAGAUAGGGUGAACCGACCAUAGACAUCCUAUUUAAAGGCUAGACGUCUCAUGGCGCACUCACUUCCGGCAUCACCGGUGGCCAUCUUAUCACAGGCAGGCUUCCUGUCGGGCUCUGUGGUACCUAAUAUAAGGUUCAGCCAGGACCACUUGGAGCUUCUCUUCAACUCCAUCAGAGUAUCUGGUAGGGUUCAUAAUUUAUAUUUACCAGCCGCAACACUAAGUGACUUGUAUUGUUUUCAGUUUGUCGGUCCAUAUGUUUUUUUACUUUUGGUAACAUGUGUUUUCUGCAGACAUACACCCUAACCCUAAGACAUACACAAUACCUGGAAGUGUCGCAAACCAUUUUGAGUAUUUAGAAAAAUGCCUGUGUUUGUCUAUUUGUUUGCAGAACUUAUCAUCACUGAUACAGUCUGAAUUUUAUGAUAAUGUCAUUCAACCUAUUUUAUGUGGAAAGAUCAUUCAGGGGUGGCUAGUUCUAAUUAGUAUUUUUUUGUAAAAAUGUUUUAAGCAUAAAACAUUUUAAAGCAUGUAUUGAAUAUCUGUGUACAAUUCUUUUAUAUAUUUAUUUUCCUUAAACGAAUAACAACCCUAAUGCCAGCCAGUUAAAAGUACAUCUUUAGGAUGUAAAGCUGAUGGCCCAGUGUGGGGUUGUUAAACCAUGCAGAGGCAAUGUGACGGCACAGGAUGACACAGAGUCCCUACCAGUUGUCAUCGACACCUCUACAAGCCUGUCAGCUGUAGAUGUGUCCUCUGCAGCAGGAGGAGAAGAUCUUCCAUCCCCGUUUGCUGACAUUCCUGCCCUAGUACAUGAUCACAGCUACCUUCCCGUCCACUUCGAUGGUCUUGUGGACAACGCUCUCAUGUACAUUUCAGGUGAAGGCUAACUGAAAGUCGAUUUUUCCCUAUAACCAAAAGUGCCAAUAGUCACAAUCUGGGGAACAAUCUCAUGAUUGUCCAAAAAGGGAAGUGUUCCCUUAAUUUCCCCAUGCUUAUUAAUGAUUAUUGUUAUUAGUUAUGAUAUUACUAACUAAAAUUUCAGGAUUUGUUGUGCAACAGGCUCUGAAGAAGCUGUCGUGUGAUGUCUGCCGUGCAAGCCUGGUGACAUGCUGCAUCUGCCAUCAAGGACCAGAGCUACCACAUGCUGAAUUUAAAAACAAUGGAGCUCUGGUGAUUCCAUCAGAGGGAACCAUGAGUUUCAUCAGGGCAGCAGAGUGGGUCAUUCGGCAGUCAUCAGGCAGUACCAGAUGAUCACAGCCCAUCAAACUGCUUGAGGUUGUUUACAUUGUCUGAAAAAGGAUCGGUUCAGAGGAUGUUUGUGUUGGGAUAGACAUCCACCACCAUAGGCUGUUAAAAAUAAUUCUGUCCCUGUUUUUUAAGUUAAGGCUGCACCACAUCGCCAGAAUUACAAUCCUCAGCUUACAGAGCAACAACAUGUGACAGAAAUUUAAUAAAACUGUCCUUUUCAAAGGGCAUUAGCCCAAGGUAUGUGUUUUCAAGGUACUGUCCUCUUUUACUUCAACAGUAGUGUAGUGCUCUCUACAGCAUUUAUUUAUUUGUGUAUAUUUAAAUGAUUUAUUUAUAUUGUAAAGGGGAAUCAUGUACCUAUUUUUUGUGUGCAAAUAAAU